GGGCGCGGGUCGACGGGUCCUGAGCGCGGGUCUGGGCUGCUCCUUGCGGGCCUGGGCUUCUCCUUGCGGUUCUGGGCCGCUGCUGGACGGGCCUGGGCGGCUGGGCCGCGUUUUUGAGCCCAAGCAAGGGCUGUUUUGUUUUUCAGCCUUUUUUAGGCGUUUUUGGGCAUUUUUUUGUCCAUUUUUUUAUUUAUUUUAUUUUCUUUUAAAAUAGAAUAGAUGUUGGGUUUCCACGAAUGGGUCACGAAGAAUUUUAAUUCUUUUAUUACUGUUCUUUGCAUGUCGUGGUUGUUAAUCCCUUAUGCUCUUUACCUGCUUUUGCACGUCUUUGCUUGUUAAUAUUUGUUUAUUAAUUGCGCUUAGACGAGCAUGAUAGUAGGUUUGCCGUUUUC
rnacentral:lncRNA from 1 species